GACGAACGCUGGCGGCGUGCCUAAUACAUGCAAGUCGAGCGAAGUUUUUCUGGUGCUUGCACUAGAAAAACUUAGCGGCGAACGGGUGAGUAACACGUAAAGAACCUGCCUCAUAGACUGGGACAACUAUUGGAAACGAUAGCUAAUACCGGAUAACAGCAUUAACGGCAUGGUUGAUGUUUAAAAGUUGGUUUUGCUAACACUAUGAGAUGGCUUUGCGGUGCAUUAGCUAGUUGGUGGGGUAAAGGCCUACCAAGGCGACGAUGCAUAGCCGACCUGAGAGGGUGAUCGGCCACACUGGGACUGAGACACGGCCCAGACUCCUACGGGAGGCAGCAGUAGGGAAUCUUCCGCAAUGGGCGAAAGCCUGACGGAGCAACGCCGCGUGAGUGAAGAAGGAUUUCGGUUCGUAAAGCUCUGUUGUUAGGGAAGAAUGAUUGUGUAGUAACUAUACACAGUAGAGACGGUACCUAACCAGAAAGCCACGGCUAACUACGUG
rnacentral:rRNA from 1 species